AGAGUUUGAUCAUGGCUCAGAAUCAACGCUGGCGGCGUGCCUAACACAUGCAAGUCGAACGAGAAAAGUGGUAGCAAUACCAUGAGUACAGUGGCGCACGGGUGAGUAACACGUGACUAACCUACCCUGGAGUGGGGGGAUAACUGAGGGAAACCUUAGCUAAUACCGCAUAAUACCUACGGGUCAAAGGAGCAAUUCGCUUCAGGAGGGGGUCGCGGCCGAUUAGUUAGUUGGCGGGGUAAUGGCCCACCAAGACAGUGAUCGGUAUCCGGCCUGAGAGGGCGCACGGACACACUGGAACUGAAACACGGUCCAGACUCCUACGGGAGGCAGCAGUGGGGAAUUUUGCGCAAUGGGGGAAACCCUGACGCAGCAACGCCGCGUGGAGGAUGAAGUCCUUCGGGACGUAAACUCCUUUCGAUCGGGACGAUAAUGACGGUACCGGAAGAAGAAGCCCCGGCUAACUUCGUGCCAGCAGCCGCGGUAAUACGAGGGGGGCGAGCGUUGUUCGGAAUUAUUGGGCGUAAAGGGUGCGUAGGCGGUUUGGUAAGUCUUAUGUGAAAUCUAUGGGCUCAACUCAUAGACUGCAUGAGAAACUGCCGGGCUUGAGUAUGGGAGAGGUGAGUGGAAUUCCUGGUGUAGCGGUGAAAUGCGUAGAUAUCAGGAGGAACACCUGUGGCGAAAGCGGCUCACUGGACCAUAACUGACGCUGAUGCACGAAAGCUAGGGGAGCAAACAGGAUUAGAUACCCUAGUAGUCC
rnacentral:rRNA from 1 species